rfam:Schistosoma mattheei strain Denwood, Zambia genome assembly, scaffold: SMTD_contig0007184
GCACUGCUGAAGAGUCCCACAAUAGGACGAAACGGCCGUCCAAUGU